rnacentral:rRNA from 1 species
CCUACGGGUGGCAGCAGUGAGGAAUAUUGGUCAAUGGCCGGAAGGCUGAACCAGCCAUGCCGCGUGAAGGUCAGUGCCCUAUGGGCGUUAAACUUCUUUUGUGCGGGAGCAUUAAUGGUCACGUGUGGCCAGACGAGAGUACCGUACGAAUAAGCAUCGGCUAACUCCGUGCCAGCAGCCGCGGUCAUACGGGGGAUGCAAGCGUUAUCCGGAGUUAGUGGGUUUAAAGGGUGCGUAGGCUGUGAGGUAAGUCAGCGGGGGAAAGCCCCGGCGUAAAGGGGUGAAGUGCCAUUGAUACUGCCUGGCUGGAAUGCGGAUGCGGUAGGAGGAAUGUGUGGUGUAGCGGUGAAAUGCAUAGAUAUCACACAGAACACCGAUUGCGAAGGCAUCUCACGAAUCCGCGAUUGACGCUGAUGCACGAAAGCGUGGGUAUCAAACAGGAUUAGAUACCCUGGUAGUC